GGAUGAUCUGGUGAUCUGUCUGGGACAUCCACUACUGAUUGCCAGACUUAACUCUGCUGACUUAGCUAGCAGGUGUCCUGGUCUCUCCACAUUCAUCUAUUUUGAAGAUGUGAAUUCAGUGGAAGAAGAGGACCAUCCCUCCUGGAAGAGGACAAGUCUUGGGUCAUGAGUAUAUGAUUAGCUUGGCUCUCCUGAUGGAACUUCCAAAUCAGCUAUCAAAUGACUGUCAUGAUUCAAACUAGUCAUUAUGGAAGUUUCAGUAUUUCUCACAUUUCCAGUUUUGCUCUUUGUGUGUUGUAUGCAUGGUGUAUGUAUAUAUGUUCAU
ensembl:misc_RNA Gm22390 predicted gene, 22390